AACGAACGCUGGCGGCAGGCUUAACACAUGCAAGUCGAACGAGAUCUUCGGAUCUAGUGGCAGACGGGUGAGGAACACGUGGGAACAUCCCUUUCAGUUCGGAAUAACGUUGGGAAACUAACGCUAAUACCGGAUACGUCCUUCGGGAGAAAGAUUUAUCGCUGAAAGAUUGGCCCGCGUCUGAUUAGCUAGUUGGUGAGGUAAUGGCUCACCAAGGCUACGAUCAGUAGCUGAUCUGAGAGGAUGAUCAGCCACAUUGGGGCUGAGAAACGGCCCAAACUCCUACGGGAGGCAGCAGGGGGGAAUAUUGAACAAUGGGCGCAAGCCUGAUCCAGCCAUGCCGCGUGAGUGAUAACGGCCUUCGGGUUGUAAAGCUCUUUUGUCCGGGAAGAUAAUGACUGUACCGGAAGAAUAAGCCCCGGCAAACUUCGUGCCAGCCGCCGCGGUAA
rnacentral:rRNA from 1 species